AAUUUCAAAAUAAUUAAAUUGCAAAGUAAUUAUAUUUGAAAAUAAUUGAUAUAAACUUUAGACUAAAUUUAAGACUCAAUUUAAAGUUUUUCAAUUGAAAAUUUUCCUUCGUAUUAAUAGUUUACAAUUUAAUAGUUAUUAAUAGUUUAAUAAUUUUAUGAAAUUGAAAUUUUAAAUAAAAGUUAGUAGACACUCGAAUAAAGUGAAAAAAAUUUUUUUUAAUGAAAUAUAAAGUUUACAGUCGUUUUUUUCCAAAGUAAAUUUUUAAAAAAUUAAAAUUUCAUUAAAAUAAUUAUCGAAAUUUUCAAGAAUAAAAUCCGUUUGUAUAGAAAAAAAAAUCAUGAAAAUUUGAAGAUGCCAUAUGGUAAGUUACAUUCUUUUUAUAUCUUCUACACAGUUGAUAAUCAAUAUUGAUUGCUUGGUUUUCAAUAUCUUCAAUUUGUUGAAAAAGAUAAUUUUUUAUAAAUCAUUUAUUAGGUUUUCAAUAUUUGUACUAACAAUUUCAAAAAAUAUGUCAUCGUUUAAAUAUUCUUCAAGAGUCUUUGUUGAUGAUGAUGUCAGUUUUUUUUGCGUACAGAAAGUUGAUUUAUUUAUCCAAUUUAUCUUCUCUCUCGUUUAUGAAGAUUUGUUAAUCCUCGCAUAUAAUACGCUUAUAAAAAUAUUUUCUUCGUCGAGAGUGUUUCAAUUUUUCCUUAUUUUAUUUUAUUUUUAUAAAUAUUCAUCUUUAAAUUUUAUUUACUUUUUUUCAGAUAAGAAAAAAAAAUUUCUAAAUAUAUAAAUAACAAUUCGGCAAUUUAACAACGCUUCUGAAGGUGAUACUCGAGUUUUUUUUGUUUUUUUUUUUAUGAAAAGUAAGUAGAUAUUUUUUAAUAAUUAUUUAAUACAAUAAAUUAUAUAUUUAUUUAAAUAAAAAUGUAAAUGAAAAACAAAAUAUUUGUCAUAGAAAUUGUAUAGGAAAUGAUUUUUUUAAAUAAAAAAAUAAAUAAUUAGCAAUUUUUUAUCGCACUUGUAUUUUCACAAUCUUUACAUUUUAUAAAAUAGUUUGAUGGAAUAAAAAAAAGCAAGAUACUUUUAUUGUCUGUAAAGGUCGGAAUUUUUUUUUCGCUAAAAAAUACUAAUUUACACUUUGUCGUAAAGAUUGGGCAAUUUUUUUUUUUUUUUUAUAAUCAACUUUUAAAAUGUAUCCGAACUUUACAAGAUUUAAAAGAAAAAUGUAUCUUACUUAAGAAAAUUUCUAGUACGUAUUUUUUUUAUACAAUUAAUAAUAAGAAUAAUAGUAAUAAUGUAUAUAUGUAUAUUUCUAUCUAUAUGUCUCUUUUUAUCACAUUUUAAAUCAAGGUAUCAGUGUUACACAAAUAUUAAGAACGUAUUCCUCCUUAAUUAAUUUCGUAGUUUUUGUUUCGUUUUUAAACGGAGUUCAAUUUUUUUUUUAACAUUUUGACAUUUCGACAGUGCAAAUACUGAUCACUUUUUGACUGGAUUAAUUAUAAAAAAAAAUUUCUUUUUUUAUAUCUUAAGUCGUAAAAUAAAAUAAAUUAUCAAUCGCCGAGGUUUUAUACGAUUUUAUAUUUGAGAGAUACACUUCCAAGACCGUUGAUUAAAUUAUCAGUAAGAAUAGAAUUAUGCAUAGGCGAGCAUAUUUUUUUUAAUUUUACAUUAUUGAGUACAUUACAGAAAAAAAAAUUUGAGACAAUAUUUUUUUUUAAAUAUAUAAUAUAAGAAAAACAUUUAUACAUGAGUGCACAAAAAAAAGUCAUUUAAGAAAUAAAUUAAUCAAAUAUCGCGAAAAUAGUUCUCAAAAAUAUAAAUAGCUUUCAGUAAAUAUUAUAAUUUACAAAAUAUAUUUAAUUUUCCAAUUAUUACACGAAAAAAAAAAAAUCACAAAUUU